rnacentral:rRNA from 1 species
AUUGAACGCUGGCGGCAGGCCUAACACAUGCAAGUCGAACGAGUGGCGGACGGGUGAGUAAUGUCUGGGAAACUGCCUGAUGGAGGGGGAUAACUACUGGAAACGGUAGCUAAUACCGCAUACCAUCGGAUGUGCCCAUAUGGGAUUAGCUUGUAGGUGGGGUAACGGCUCACCUAGGCGACGAUCCCUAGCUGGUCUGAGAGGAUGACCAGCCACACUGGAACUGCGACACGGUCCAGACUCCUACGGGAGGAAGCAGUGGGGAAUAUUGCACAAUGGGCGCAAGCCUGAUGCAGCCAUGCCGCGUGUAUGAAGAAGGCCUUCGGGUUGUAAAGUACUUUCAGCGGGGAGGCGUUACCGGCAGAAGAAGCACCGGCUAACUCCGUGCCAGCAGCGGCGGUAAUUC